rnacentral:tRNA from 1 species
AUUUACAUAAUAUAAAAAUUAUAUUUGACUUCCAAUCGAAAGAUCUAGAAUAACUAGUGUAAAUA